rnacentral:rRNA from 1 species
UACGGGGGGGGCAAGCGUUGUUCGGAAUUACUGGGCGUAAAGGGUUUGUAGGUGGCCCGCUAAGUCACACGUGAAAUCCCUCAGCUUAACUGGGGAACUGCGUGUGAGACUGGCAGGCUUGAGUGCAGGAGAGGAACGCGGAAUUCCAGGUGUAGCGGUGAAAUGCGUAGAUAUCGGAAGGAACAUCAGUGGCGAAAGCGGCUUCCUGGACCAGUACCGACGUUCAGGCACGAAAGCGUGGGGAGCAAACAGG